rnacentral:tRNA from 1 species
CACUGAGAAGCUUUUUUGGGCCAAGCGUUAGCCUUUUAAGCUAAUCAUGGUGACUCCCGACCACCCUUAGUGA